GAAAUGCGAUAAGUAAUGUGAAUUGCAGAAUUCAGUGAAUCAUCGAAUCUUUGAACGCACAUUGCGCCCUUUGGCAUUCCGAAGGGCAUGCCUGUUCGAGCGUCAUUACACCAAUCAAGCCUGGCUCGGUAUUGGGCGACGGGGUCGGUCGAACCACCCCCCGCCCCAAAGACCUUUCCGGCGGGACGGACCAAUCUCAGCGUUGUGCAAACGUGUCGCUGGCGAGACGGGACGGCCGUGCCGUUAAACCCCAUUUUCUUCAAGGUUGACCUCGGAUCGGGUAGGGAUACCCGCUGAACUUAAGC
rnacentral:misc_RNA from 1 species